GUCACACCAUACAUCAGCGACUAGAAUCUGAAUAAUCUUAUACAGUCUUAGUUCAAUCUGUAGUCUCAUUAUCAAGAGUCACCAUGAUCAGAGUUCUAGUCUUUUUUCAGUCACUCUACUGGAUUCAAGGAGUUGCAGGAACAAAGGAUGUCUUUCAGCCCAGUAUACUCUGGGCUAAAAUGGGUCAAUCAGCCACAAUAAACUGCUCACACAGCAAAGAUGCAAAUCAUAAUCAGAUGUACUGGUAUCGUCAGUAUCAUGGAGAGAGUAUGGAGCUCAUAGUGUUUACUACCAGCUUUGGCACUCAAGACUUUGGAAAAUUCAGCCAAAGUAAAUUCUCAGCUAUUAAAACAGUUCCUGAGAGCGGCUCAUUCACAGUGAAAGACGUGGAUUAUAAUGACAGCGCUGUGUAUUUCUGUGCCGUGAGAGAACACAGUGCUAUAACCACAGGGCAGAGCUGUACAAAAACACACCGUGUGUCUCUGGAGACACCUAAUGGGUGCUGAUUGACAUAAAAGUCAUUGGAAUAACAAUAGGAACACUAGCAGAUGUUUAACAUGUCCUGUAAUGUAACAUGUUAUGACAUG